rnacentral:rRNA from 1 species
GAUGAACGCUGACAGAAUGCUUAACACAUGCAAGUCUACUUGAAUUUGGGUUUUUUAACUUAGAUUUGGGUGGCGGACGGGUGAGUAACGCGUAAAGAACUUGCCUCACAGCUAGGGACAACAUUUGGAAACGAAUGCUAAUACCUGAUAUUAUGAUUAUAAGGCAUCUUAGAAUUAUGAAAGCUAUAUGCGCUGUGAGAGAGCUUUGCGUCCCAUUAGCUAGUUGGAGAGGUAACGGCUCACCAAGGCGAUGAUGGGUAGCCGGCCUGAGAGGGUGAACGGCCACAAGGGGACUGAGACACGGCCCUUACUCCUACGGGAGGCAGCAGUGGGGACUAUUGGACAAUGGACCAAGAGUCUGAUCCAGCAAUUCUGUGUGCACGAUGACGUUUUUCGGAAUGUAAAGUGCUUUCAGUUGGGAAGAAAAAAAUGACGGUACCAACAGAAGAAGUGACGGCUAAAUACGUG